AGUUCGGACUGCAGCCUGCAACCCGGCUGCACGAAGCCGGAAUCGCUAGUAAUCGCGGAUCAGAAUGCCGCGGUGAAUACGUUCCCGGGUCUUGUACACACCGCCCGUCACACCAUGGGAGCCGGGAAUGCCCGAAGUCAGUGGCCCAACCGCAAGGAGGGAGCUGCCGAAGGCAGGCCCGGUGACUGGGGUGAAGUCGUAACAAGGUACC
rnacentral:rRNA from 1 species